rnacentral:rRNA from 1 species
AGAAUCAACGCUGGCGGCGUGCCUCAGACAUGCAAGUCGAACGAUUAAAGCUCUCUUCGGAGAGUGUAUAGAGUGGCGCACGGGUGAGUAACACGUAAGUAAUCUACCUUCGAGUGGGGAAUAACGUUCGGAAACGAACGCUAAUACCGCAUAAUGCAGCGGCAUCGCAAGAUGACAGUUGUUAAAGGAAUUUAUUUCGCUUGAAGAGGAGCUUGGCGGCAGAUUAGCUUGUUGGUAAGGUAACGGCUUACCAAGGCUACGAUCUGUAUCCGGUCUAAGAGGACGGUCGGACACACUGACACUGAAUAACGGGUCAGACUCCGUACGGGAGGCAGCGAGUCGGGUAAUUUUGGGCUAAGUGGGACGAAAGCAGACCCAGCAACGCG